AGCACUAAUAUAUACUGAAAGUCGCAG
rnacentral:piRNA from 1 species